rnacentral:rRNA from 1 species
GACGAACGCUGGCGGCGUGCCUAAUACAUGCAAGUGGGACGCAAGAGGACACACUGUGCUUGCACACCGUGUUUUCUUGAGUCGCGAACGGGUGAGUAACGCGUAGGUAACCUGCCUAUUAGCGGGGGAUAACUAUUGGAAACGAUAGCUAAUACCGCAUAAUAUUAAUUAUUGCAUGAUAAUUGAUUGAAAGAUGCAAGCGCAUCACUAGUAGAUGGACCUGCGUUGUAUUAGCUAGUUGGUAAGGUAAGAGCUUACCAAGGCGACGAUACAUAGCCGACCUGAGAGGGUGAUCGGCCACACUGGGACUGAGACACGGCCCAGACUCCUACGGGAGGCAGCAGUAGGGAAUCUUCGGCAAUGGACGAAAGUCUGACCGAGCAACGCCGCGUGAGUGAAGAAGGUUUUCGGAUCGUAAAGCUCUGUUGUAAGUCAAGAACGUGUGUGAGAGGGAAAGUUCACAC